AAAGCUAAAUGUGCAGCAAAUGCAAGCUGGCUGCCCUGCUUUUCUCUUGAGAACCUAACUCACAUGGGUGGGAUGUUUUCAACAGCUAGAAAUCAUCAACGGUAAAAAACUAUCGCAAGAGAAGUUGUUCACCCUAAGCAGCAAGUGCGACACCUGCAUCCCAACUUUUCCCAUUUGGGUCAAAGAACUGUCAUUCAUCUAUAUUGCCUUUGCUACAUGCGGCUGCUUUUGAAGAGGUUCCAUACGCCUCUAUAGAACUGGGAUGGGAGACAACGGUGUGUGGAUUGCAUGCCACCUUUAAGGAAAUCUGAAGAAGUUUCAAGUAACCCAGAUGUUCUAAGCCAUGCCCCUCCGCUUGCAUUUGGUACUUCAAUAAAAGUAAAUAAAAUGAGUAUUUGAAAUAAUCAUGUGCCUGAUUAUUUCUGAGAAGUGCUGAGUUGCAUGUACUAUGCCUGCCGGCCUCAGCACACCAGCUGAUAUCCAAGGGGACUGUUAUAGCUUCCUGGUUCUCCUAGUAUGGAGACAAUUCUAGA
rnacentral:lncRNA from 1 species